GCCAGGUGUGGUGGCGUGCACCUGUAAUCCCAGCUACUUGGGAGGCUGAGGCAGGAGAAUCACUUGAACCCAGGAGGCAGAGGUUGCAGUGAGCCAAGAUCAUGCCACUGCACUCCAGCCUGGGUGACAGAGUGAGAUUCUGUCUCAA
rfam:Gorilla gorilla gorilla genomic chromosome, chr7, whole genome shotgun sequence